AUGCUACCCCAGUGGAUGAGAAAUAUGUCAGCCUUUGAGAGCUUGUCGUGGUUGGAGCUGUCGGAUUACGCAUGCUGCGAGGAACUCCCUAUUGGCUUGGGCCAGCUCCGCUUUCUUGAUGUUCUCAAGGUUAACCGGGCUCCGUCCAUUAGGCGUAUCGGUCAUGAUUUCAUCCUCCCCUCCUUAGGUGGCAUGACUGACUCGUCUGCCCAUCCAGGAGGAACACAGAUAAUUGAGGAGAGACACAGACGGAUUGCAUUCCCCAAGCUCCAAACCUUGGGGCUAGUAGGGAUGUCUGGAUGGACGGAGUGGGAACGGGAGGAGCAAGUCCUAGCAAUGCCAGCUCUAGAGAAGCUUUGGAUUGGCGAAUGUAGACUGACUCAUCUCCCCAUUGGACUUGCAUACCAUGCAAGAGCAUUGAGAAUGCUGGACCUGAGAAAUUCAAACUUUGUCUGCGUGGAGAACUUGCCUUCAAUCGACGAGCUAUGGUUAGUUAACAACCCAAAGCUAGAGAGGAUCACCAACAACCAAAGCUUGCAGAUUAUAUAUCCGCCUUGCAAAUUGUCGGAGCUUAAAGACACUGGAUGA
rnacentral:rRNA from 1 species